GAAUCUACCGUGUAGUGGGGGAUAACGUUUCGAAAGGAACGCUAAUACCGCAUACGUCCUACGGGAGAAAGGGGGGGAUCUUCGGACCUCUCGCUAUACGAUGAGCCCAAGUCGGAUUAGCUAGUUGGUGGGGUAAAGGCCUACCAAGGCGACGAUCCGUAGCUGGUCUGAGAGGAUGAUCAGCCACACUGGAACUGAGACACGGUCCAGACUCCUACGGGAGGCAGCAGUGGGGAAUAUUGGACAAUGGGGGCAACCCUGAUCCAGCCAUGCCGCGUGUGUGAAGAAGGCCUUCGGGUUGUAAAGCACUUUAAGCGGGGAGGAAGGGCGCCUGGAUAAUACCUGGGUGCAUUGACGUUACCCGCAGAAUAAGCACCGGCUAACUCUGUGCCAGCAGCCGCGGUAAUACAGAGGGUGCAAGCGUUAAUCGGAAUUACUGGGCGUAAAGCGCGCGUAGGCGGUUAUGCAAGUUGGAGGUGAAAUCCCCGGGCUCAACCUGGGCACUGCCUUCAAAACUGCAUGGCUAGAGUAUGGGAGAGGAAGGUAGAAUUCCAGGUGUAGCGGUGAAAUGCGUAGAGAUCUGGAGGAAUACCGAUGGCGAAGGCAGCCUUCUGGCCUAAUACUGACGCUGAGGUGCGAAAGCAUGGGGAGCAAACAGGAUUAGAUACCCUGGUAGUCCAUGCCGUAAACGAUGUCAACUAGUUGU
rnacentral:rRNA from 1 species